GACGAACGCUGGCGGCGUGCCUAAUACAUGCAAGUAGAACGCUGAAGGAGGAGCUUGCUUCUCCGGAUGAGUUGCGAACGGGUGAGUAACGCGUAGGUAACCUGCCUGGUAGCGGGGGAUAACUAUUGGAAACGAUAGCUAAUACCGCAUAAUAGUAGAUGUUGCAUGACAUUUGCUUAAAAGGUGCAAUUGCAUCACUACCAGAUGGACCUGCGUUGUAUUAGCUAGUUGGUGGGGUAACGGCUCACCAAGGCGACGAUACAUAGCCGACCUGAGAGGGUGAUCGGCCACACUGGGACUGAGACACGGCCCAGACUCCUACGGGAGGCAGCAGUAGGGAAUCCUCGGCAAUGGACGGAAGUCUGACCGAGCAACGCCGCGUGAGUGAAGAAGGUUUUCGGAUCGUAAGGCUCUGUUGUAAGAGAAGAACGAGUGUGAGAGUGGAAAGUUCACACUGUGACGG
rnacentral:rRNA from 1 species